rnacentral:rRNA from 1 species
UACGUAGGGUGCAAGCGUUGUCCGGAAUUAUUGGGCGUAAAGAGCUCGUAGGCGGUUCGUCGCGUCGGCUGUGAAAUCCCGAGGCUCAACCUCGGGUCUGCAGUCGAUACGGGCGGACUGGAGUUCGGCAGGGGAGACUGGAAUUCCUGGUGUAGCGGUGAAAUGCGCAGAUAUCAGGAGGAACACCGGUGGCGAAGGCGGUUCUCUGGGCAUGUCCUGACGCUGAGGAGCGAAAGUGUGGGGAGCGAACAGG